UGGCAUCUGAAACGUUUGUAAAAGGCACGGAGCCAAGGCGAGGAGGCCAACGCGGACAUCAGCGUUCUCUGCCCCUCCCUCCCCCUUGGCUCCAGCGCCUCUCCAGGAGGUCCACAGAACCGGGCCCUGUUUCCGGAAGCAGCCGCCUCUGCCCAAGGAAUCCAGGUCGCUGGGCAGAGGACGGGAGCCAAGGCCUCAAAGGCUGGGGACCUCUCGGCCUUGUCACCCCCUGGACGUGGUCUCCCCGCCUAGCCGGGCAUCCCUUCUCCGUGCCCUGUCAGUGAGCCUCACGGCACCGGAAAGUGAGCCUAGGUCACUGCGCAGGAGGGGGGAGGGGCCCAGCGAGGCGGGGAAGAGACAAGCUGAGCCUGGAACGUGGGAGCUGGGGCAGAAAGUAAAAGAAAUGCGCGGGGACCGAGGCGGACAUGUCAAGCGCACUAGAGUCAGUUUGAAAGGGUUCCGACUGGCCAAAUCGAGAUAAUGAUAACAGUGGAUUAUAAUCCACCGAAGCAAAUGACACACCAGGGCCUGAAAGCAAUGACACACCGGUAUCAACAAACACCAAGCGCCAAGCACCGGCUCUUGGUCUCUAAAUACCGUUCUCCAAUGAAAGGAACCAGGGCUCCUUUUGGGUCGAGCCGCUUCUUUGGGUCUUCAUUUUGCCAAGGGGCUCCCAUGGACAUGUGAAAAUCUACGCUUUUCUCCUAUUAUUCUGUUUUAUGUCCAUUUGAUUCUCAGGUCCUGCCGGAGACCCUAAGAGGGUCAAAGUAAAGUUUUGCCUCCCGCAGCUUGAACCAGGGUGAAGCACUGGAUGAAGAGACGGGCAGGCGUGGGAGAAACAGAAGCUUUCAUCCCGGGGCUCAAGCAGACGGUAUUCCUAGACAUUGCUGAUGAAGAUGAACAGGCAGUGUUCCCAACCCUGUGAUUUCCCUGUAGGAAGGACACAGUAUUAUUCAUCUUACCUGGACUCAGGGCUAGAACCUGGGAAGCUGCUGGGAAACAGUUUUUUUGUUUGUUUGUUUCUGAAGGCUGAGAUCAAACUAGUAUAUUAGAAACAUAUUACAGCGACGCACUAUUCUAGUGAAGUAUGCAUGGAGCCGUCACCAAAAUAGCCAAGAAUCCCUGACCUCAUGGAACUUACAUUCCAGUGGAUCCAGUGGAUCCUGUAAAGGGGAGGUCUAAGAUCCGGCAGUCCGAACAAGGUGGCACGUGGUAGCUGCUGCUGAAGUUGCCGUUAUUCUUAAGAAGCACACUUAGGCAGCGAGGUGAUGAAAGCGCUGGAGAGAACUCAGCAGGAAAAAGACAAGGACAGAACUGGUGCUGAGAAGGGCGCGUCGGGAUGGUGCCCGAAACACAGACCAAGGUACUUAGGCAGACUUGUCUCGCCUCACAAAGAAAAAAAAAAAAAAAACCAGCCUUUUAAAAGUUCCGCAACCGCUAGGAGAAAAAGACAGCGGAACUAACGGAGA